UCAAACGGAUUGAUCACUCUGGUUUUAAGAGAGAAAUCUCAUCUCAUCGGGAAAAAAUGGCAGGGAGAUUGAGCCACGCGGCGUCUAGGCCUAUGGGCGGAAACGACGUCGUUUCCCGCUGGUCACCGCUCCGGCAGGGGCGUUCCCGUCGGCAAACACUGUCCCCAACAAACCCCUUCCUGUAAACGACGAGCUGGUUUAGGACAAUGGGACUCCGUUUCCUGAACCCUGUAUAGAUCGUAUCCCCGAUACAAUCGGAAAGUAUAAAGCUUUGGCCCCUGUGUCGAGGUUUGGGCUUUUUUGCGUCUCUUGGAAUGUUGGCUGUGUGGAAUGACAAAGCCUCCAAAAUACCAUUUACUCCUAAGGUCUCUAUCUAUAUAACCUGCGAGUGGAGCUUGGAGGAGAAGCAUAGAUAUCUACUUGGUGGUUGUUGCAAGAUAACGCUGUUUCACAUUCUCUCGUCUAUUUGUUUGUUUUUUGAACGUUUGAAGCAGUAAGAAAUAAUUGUUUCAUCUUCACUGUUGCUAAUACUAACAGCUUCGAAAAAUAAAUGCAAUCAGAUUUGUCUAAAGACGUCAGAUACAACGGAGCACAAAUAAUAAAACGCCAUUUUAUACAUGGAUUUAUAUCUCAUCUCAUCCUCUGUAAGUGUCUUUUUUUUUGUCAAUAUGCCUUUCUUUGUUCUUAGGAUCUUUAUUUUCUGUUGUGGUUUAGGUCAUUUAUGGCAUUUGCAUUAGGGUAAUGUGGCUUCUAGGGGUAUGUAUGUAUAUACUGAUGCGAUGUCUUGAACUUAAUGUGCUAUUAAUUAACUGUAUGAAACUUUCUAAUGUACAGAGAGAAUGAAUACCCACAAAAUGUAGAGAGAGAGAGAGAGAGAGAGAGAGAGAGAGGUUCCAUCUAUAUUAUUAAUAAAGGGAUGGGUUCUUCAUUUGAGAUAACUGGGAAUUGUUCUUGAUAAAGCAUGAACUUUCUUGUUCCCAAACAAUAAAUAAUUGUAGACCCUCACUCUAUAAAACUACUAGGCCUUAAUGGCAAUAUGGUUUGUGCCACCUACUCACUACUCAGGAUGUGGGGAGAAAAUAUUCAAAGAUACACCAAACUUUUGAUAUUAAAUUGCAGAUAGUGACUUCGAAAUAAUGGAAAAAAAUAAAACCAAAUCCGUGUUAUAAUGAUUAAGAGGUCGAAUUUGUCAAAGAUUAUUCACGAGAGUAUAGUAUAAUGUGGUUAGAGUAAUGGGGACCAUCUGAAAUGGUAGUUAAAGUAGAUCAUCAUUUCAAUUAAAGCUAAUUCAAGAGAAGCAAACAAACUUCACAUGCAACACGGUAUUAGAUAUUAGUUGGUCACCCUUAGGAUUUAAGAAUGUACACUCGUGAGUCGUGACAUAUGUAUUCCAUAAUUUUUAAUUUUAUUUUUAUUCUUCUAAAGUUCAACUUCUUUUUAGAGAAGAGAGAUCAUACCAUCUGAGUUAAUGUCUAUUGAGCAUAAAUAAAUCUAUAAUUGAGGGAUGCAUGAUGAUUACAAAAUUAUUAGUAUAGAAGAUAAAUAUUAUUA